UUUGCUUUCUUUUCUUUAUGUAAUUGGCAAUAUAAGGAUUUUCAAUGCAAUUCACUGCACAAUACAUAUAAAUUUCCUCUAGAUCAAAAUCAAGAAGUUUAUCACGGGCAAAUACUGGAAGAUAGUUAGUUAUACGUUUCAUUUCUUCAAAA